rfam:Kocuria palustris PEL contig_24, whole genome shotgun sequence.
AUCUCACAUGCUUCCACGGAUCGUCCGGCACGUACCUGCCGGGAAGAGAGCGAGAA